rnacentral:misc_RNA from 1 species
GUGAAGAACGUAGCGAAAUGCGAUACUUGGUGUGAAUUGCAGAAUCCCGUGAACCAUCGAGUCUUUGAACGCAAGUUGCGCCCGAAGCCAUUAGGCCGAGGGCACGCCUGCCUGGGCGUCACACGUCGUUGCCCCCCCAUCUACUCCUUCGGGAUUGCGGGGGGCGGAUGAUGGCCUCCCGUGCGCCUCGUCGCGCGGUUGGCAUAAAUGCCAAGUCCUCGGCGACGCACGCCACGACAAUCGGUGGUUGCGAAACCUCGGUUGCCCGUCGUGUGCGGUCGUCGCGCAUCGAGGGCUCGAAAAAAUUGCCGGGCUCCGGCUCGGCUUUCAACGCGACCCCAGGUCAGGCGGGGUUACCCGCUGAAUUUAAGCAUAUCAAUAAGCGGAGGA